UACAGAGGUCUCAAGCGUUGUUCGGAUUCAUUGGGCGUAAAGGGCGCGUAGGCUGCGGGGCAAGUCGGGUGUGAAUCUCAGAGCUCAACUCUGAAACUGCACUCGAUACUGCUUUGCUUGAGGACUGGAGGAGGAGUAGUUAGGUAAUUCACGGUGUAGCAGUGAAAUGCGUAGAUAUCGUGAGGAGACCAGUGGCGAAGGCGGAUCUCUGGACAGUUCCUGACGCUGAGGCGCGAAGGCCAGGGGAGCAAACGGG
rnacentral:rRNA from 1 species